GAUGAACGCUGGCGGCGUGCUUAACACAUGCGAGUCGAACGAUGAAGCCCAGCUUGCUGGGUGGAUUAGUGGCGAACGGGUGAGUAACACGUGAGUAACCUGCCCUUGACUCUGGGAUAAGCCUGGGAAACUGGGUCUAAUACCGGAUAGGAACGUCCACCGCAUGGUGGGUGUUGGAAAGAUUUAUCGGUCAUGGAUGGACUCGCGGCCUAUCAGCUUGUUGGUGAGGUAAUGGCUCACCAAGGCGACGACGGGUAGCCGGCCUGAGAGGGUGACCGGCCACACUGGGACUGAGACACGGCCCAGACUCCUACGGGAGGCAGCAGUGGGGAAUAUUGCACAAUGGGCGAAAGCCUGAUGCAGCGACGCCGCGUGAGGGAUGACGGCCUUCGGGUUGUAAACCUCUUUCAGUAGGGAAGAAGCGAAAGUGACGGUACCUGCAGAAGAAGCACCGGCUAACUACGUG
rnacentral:rRNA from 1 species